CCUACGGGAGGCUGCAGUGGGGAAUAUUGCACAAUGGGGGAAACCCUGAUGCAGCGACGCCGCGUGAGUGAAGAAGUAAUUCGUUAUGUAAAGCUCUAUCAGCAGGGAAGAAAAGGACGGUACCUGAGUAAGAAGCCCCGGCUAACUACGGGCCAGCAGCCGCGGGAAUACGUAGGGGGCAAGCGUUAUCCGGAUUUACUGGGUGUAAAGGGAGCGUAGACGGCAGUGCAAGUCUGGAGUGAAAGGCGGGGGCUCAACCCCCGGACUGCUCUGGAAACUGUCCGGCUGGAGUGCAGGAGAGGUAAGUGGCUUUCCUCUUGUAGCGUUGACAUGCGUCGCUAUGAGGAGG
rnacentral:rRNA from 1 species